rnacentral:tRNA from 1 species
GAGGGUAUAGCUCAGGGGUAGACCACAUGCUUAGCAUGCAUGAGGUCCUGGGUUCAAUCCCCAGUUCCUCCA